rfam:Hypholoma sublateritium FD-334 SS-4 unplaced genomic scaffold scaffold_15, whole genome shotgun sequence.
UGCCCCAUGGCCCAGUUGGCUAAGGCGUCCGACUGUUACAUUGAUCAUCUGUUCAAAGCACAUCGGGAGAUCGAGAGUUCGAGCCUCUCUGGGGCAG